CGAAGUAGCAAUACUUAGUGGCAGACGGGUGAGUAACAUGUGGGCAUCUUCCCUUUGGCCUGGAAUAACACGAGGAAACUUGUGCUAAUACCGGAUAAGUCUUUACGGAGAAAGCUUUAUGCACCAUUGGAUGAGCCUGCACUUGAUUAGUUUGUUGGUGGGGUAAUGGCCUACCGAGACUUUGAUCAAUAGCUGAUUUGAGAGGAUGAUCAACCACAUUGGGACUGAGACACGGCCCAAACUCCUACGGGAGGCAGCAGUGGGGAAUCUUGCACAAUGGAGGAAACUCUGAUGCAGCGAUGCCGCGUGAGUGAAGAAGGCCCUUGGGUUGUAAAGCUCUUUCGUCGGGGAAGAAAAUGACUGUACCCGAAUAAGAAGGUCCGGCUGACUUCGUGCCAGCAGCCGCGGUAAUACGAAGGGACCUAGCGUAGUUCGGAAUUACUGGGCUUAAAGAGUUCGUAGGUGGUUGAAAAAGUUGGUGGUGAAAUCCCAGAGCUUAACUCUGGAACUGCCAUCAAAACUUUUCAGCUAGAGUUUGAUAGAGGAAAGCAGAAUUUCUAGUGUAGAGGUGAAAUUCGUAGAUAUUAGAAAGAAUACCAAUUGCGAAGGCAGCUUUCUGGAUCAUUACUGACACUGAGGAACGAAAGCAUGGGUAGCGAAGAGGAUUAGAUACCCUCGUAGUCCAUGCCGUAAACGAUGUGUGUUAGACGUUGGAAAUUUAUUUUCAGUGUCGCAGCGAAAGCGAUAAACACACCGCCUGGGGAGUACGACCGCUUGGUUAAAACUCAAAUGAAUUGACGGGGACCCGCACAAGUAGUGGAGCAUGUGGUU
rnacentral:rRNA from 1 species